rnacentral:rRNA from 1 species
CCUACGGGAGGCAGCAGUGAGGAAUAUUGGUCAAUGGACGCAAGUCUGAAGCAGCCAUGCCGCGUGCAGGAAGACGGCUCUAUGAGUUGUAAACAGCUUUUGUGCGGGGGUAAACGCAGAUACGCAUAUCUUUCUGAAAGUAUCGUACGAGUAGGGAUCGGCUAACUCCGUUCCAGCAGCCGCGGUAAGACGGAGGAUUCAAGCGUUAUCCGGAUUUACUGGGUUUAAAGGGUGCGUAGGCGGUCGGAUAAGUUAGAGGUGAAAUCCCGAGGCUCAACCUCGGAAUGGCCUCUGAUACUGGUCGGCUAGAGAGUAGUUGCGGUAGGCAGAAUGUAUGGUGUAGCGGUGAAAUGCUUAGAGAUCAUACAGAACACCGAUUGCGAAGGCAGCCUACCAAGCUACGUCUGACGCUGAGGUACGAAAGCGUGGGGAGCAAACAGGAUUAGAUACCCCGGUAGUC